rnacentral:rRNA from 1 species
UACGGGGGGAGCAAGCGUUGUUCGGAUUUACUGGGCGUAAAGAGCGUGUAGGCGGCCAGGUAGGUCUGCUGUGAAAACUCGAGGCUCAACCUCGAGACGUCGGCGGAAACCAUCUGGCUAGAGUCCGGAAGAGGAGAGUGGAAUUCCUGGUGUAGCGGUGGAAUGCGUAGAGAUCCGGAAGAACACCGGUGGCGAAGGCGGCCCGCUGGGCAGGAAGGCUCGCAAGAGCCGGCUGACGCUGAGGCGCGACAGCGUGGGGAGCAAACAGG